GCACCGCGAACCCAAACGCGCUGGGCGGGGACUGGCUGGUCGGCGGCUGCUUCCUCCGGUUUCCCACGAGGUCCUUUCCUAGCUGACCCUCCCGAGAAAGCUUUCCCGCGAGGCUGGAAGAGGAGUGGCAAUGAGGACUUUUCUUACAAGCCGCAGAAACAUUAAACCACGUACCAGGAGAACGUUCUUAGAGUUGGGAAGCUGUACAUCAUCAGUUGUCUCACUUGGUGCUGGGAUUAAAGAUGUGUCUGCCAUCUAUGGCUAACUAGUGACUUAGGUCUGCACUCUGAUCUUCAGAUGGGGCCUGUCACACCGUCAUGGAGCAUAAGGAUCAUCAGGUUUCGGAGGACAGCAGUGCUAUGGUAACACACAGUGAACUCAGUUAAGAGACUUACAGCUGUUAUUGGCUGUGGCAGCAGUUCUCAACCUGUGAGGGGACAAACAACUCUUUCAGAGGGUCACCUGGCAGAUAUCCUGCAUAUCCGAUAUUUACAUCAUAAUUCAUAACAGCAAAAUUACAAACAUGAAGUAGCAAUGGAUCAACCCUUUGCUUUAUAAGAUGGUUAUGAGGCUGUGGGGAUAAGGGAGUCAGGUCCUUCAGAACAGGAAUUAUAGAUGGUUAUGAACCACUGUAUGGAUUCUGGGAACUGAAUCUGGGUUCUCUGCAAGAGCGAUAAGUGUUUUUAUGAGCUAUCUCUCCGGCUGCAGAAGACCCUUUUCAACUGUAAGCGAGACCAUUCCCCGGGUAGGAAUUCUGAAGUGGAUAAAGUGAACUGAGAGCCAACAUUCACCGUCUUUUGCUUUCUGACUCUGGGUCUAGUGUGUCCAGCUGUCUCAGUUCCUUUGCCAUGGAUGGACUGUACCCUUUCGGUAUGAGCUGAAAUA